rnacentral:rRNA from 1 species
UGGGGAAUAUUGCACAAUGGGCGAAAGCCUGAUGCAGCAACGCCGCGUGAGUGAUGAAGGCCUUCGGGUUGUAAAGCUCUGUCUUUUGGGACGAUAAUGACGGUACCAAAGGAGGAAGCCACGGCUAACUACGUGCCAGCAGCCGCGGUAAUACGUAGGUGGCAAGCGUUGUCCGGGAUUUUACUGGGCGUAAAGGAUGCGUAGGCGGAUUUUUAAGUGAGAUGUGAAAUACCCGGGCUUAACUUGGGUGCUGCAUUUCAAACUGGGAAUCUAGAGUGCGGGAGAGGAGAAUGGAAUUCCUAGUGUAGCGGUGAAAAGUGCGUAGAGAUUAGGAAGAACACCAGUGGCGAAAGGCGAUUCUCUGGACCGUAACUGACGCUGAGGCAUGAAAGCGUGGGUAGCAAACAGGAUUAGAUACCCUGGUAGUCCACGCCGUAAACGAUGAGUACUAGGUGUAGGAGGUAUCGACCCCUUCUGUGCCGCAGUUAACACAAUAGGUACUCCGCCUGGGAAGUACGAUCGUAAGAUUAAAACCUCAAAUGAAUUGACGGGGGUCAUAGCUGUUUUUCC